rfam:Canis lupus familiaris chromosome X, whole genome shotgun sequence.
GCCUGGCUGGCUCAGUCAAUAGAGCAUGCGACUCUUGAUCUCGGGGUCGUGAGUUCAAGCCUCACAUUGGGUG